GACGAACGCUGGCGGCGUGCUUAACACAUGCAAGUCGAACGGUAAGGCCCUUCGGGGUACACGAGUGGCGAACGGGUGAGUAACACGUGGGUGAUCUGCCCUGCACUUCGGGAUAAGCCUGGGAAACUGGGUCUAAUACCGGAUAGGACUCCGGACUGCAUGGUCUGGGGUGGAAAGCUUUUGCGGUGUGGGAUGGGCCCGCGGCCUAUCAGCCUGUUGGUGGGGUGAUGGCCUACCAAGGCGACGACGGGUAGCCGGCCUGAGAGGGUGACCGGCCACACUGCGACUGAGAUACGGCCCAGACUCCUACGGGAGGCAGCAGUGGGGAAUAUUGCACAAUGGGCGCAAGCCUGAUGCAGCGACGCCGCGUGAGGGAUGACGGCCUUCGGGUUGUAAACCUCUUUCAGCACAGACGAAGCGCAAGUGACGGUAUGUGCAGAAGAAGGACCGGCCAACUACGUGCCAGCCGCCGCGGUAA
rnacentral:rRNA from 1 species